GUCUACGGCCAUGCUCCCCUGAACGUGCCUGAUCUGGUCUGAUCUUGGAAGCUAAGCAAGGUGGAGCCUGGUUAGUACUUGGAUGGGAGACCACCUAGGAAUAUCAGGCGCUGCAGGCA
rnacentral:rRNA from 1 species